AUGGAAAUUGGAAUAGACAUUGUAGAUCCAGUCUCCUUUUCUCUACGCUCUGUCAGGCUGCAACAGCCUAAGUUUCUAUUUUCUAUCUUGGCUCCAAUGGCAGUAGUAGGAUGCUCAUUGGCAACCCAAGGUGUGUAUGCCCCUACUUCCCCAAGUAUCAAUGCAUUUUCCAUUCAACUUUCUAAAGAUUUUUGUUCACAGAUGUAUGCUGCUGUGAGGCAUGUAGCACCACUUCUCCUGACUGCUAUAAUCAGUGGAAGAUCUCAUGACAUGGCGUCAUGGUCUCAUGGAAUGGACAUCAUGGGGCUUAUUAGGAACUCUGAGUUCAGGGGCACCAUGCCGAAAGAGGUCAAUCUCUUCCAAUACACAAUCGCUGAGGGAAGGUUUGUUAGGAAGCCCAUCUCUUCUGCAGCAAGCCCUGCAGAAAGAGAGCUAGAUAUAAUGUUGGAAAAUAAAAGCCGGGAGAAGUAUGAAUCCGAACACGACCCCCUCCGUCCUCCUCCCGCGACGCGCGUCACGGGAGAAAUCCUAGCGCCGCUGCCGCCGGGACCCCCUCCUCCUCCCCUUCUCCCCUCCCCUGCCGCCGCCUGCGAGCAAGGCCGGGCAAAGCCCGGUCAGCUCUGGCGGUGUGAUGCCGUGGCCGGUGAAGGCGCGGUGCAAGCAGGGGGCACGGCGGCGUGGCAUCUGAGUCUGGGGCGGCGAUGCCUGGCCAGGUGCUCGUGCGGGUGGCUCUACGGCGGGGGUGGCUGCGAUGUUGCCGGCGGCUGCGUUUGUGCGCGCCCAGAUCUGGCAGCGGCUGCGCCCGCGGCUUGCGCUGGCUCAGCUGUUGCCUGGGUGGCUCGGCACGUGCGGGAGCUCGGCGGGCGGCGGCUUGGGUCGCCGCUGCACCUCGCCGUCCGGCUGUGUGGUUACUGGUGGUGGAUAGCGGUCGUUGGUGACAUUCAUCUUGUCCAGCCAUGGCGCAGGGAUGGAUCCGACGCCGGGAGGGCCACGGAACCAUCCUUGCCUCCUGUUAGGUGGCGCACCGGGGAGCUCGUCCUUGCACGGCCUGGCAAGCCGGGGCGGUGGCGGCCGAGUACGGCCGGCCCGGGGGUGGGCCUCGGACCUAGGGACCAUCCAAGGGCAGGGAAGGAGGUGCCUUCCCGCCCGUCUCUUUGCCUUUCAUGGCUGCAAGCUUCGGUAGGGGAUGGUGUCGGGACCAUUGGUGUUGGGGCGGUGGCCCUGGAGGUGGGAGGCGUGGGCUCAUGGGCGGAGCUCACGGCUCGGGUGUGA
rnacentral:rRNA from 1 species